rnacentral:rRNA from 1 species
UUGACCUCGGAUCAGGUAGGGAUACCCGCUGAACUUAAGCAUAUCAAUAAGCGGAGGAAAAGAAACCAACAGGGAUUGCCUCAGUAACGGCGAGUGAAGCGGCAAGAGCUCAAAUUUGAAAGCUGGCUCCUUCGGGGUCCGCAUUGUAAUUUGCAGAGGAUGUUUCGGGAGCAGCCCCCAUCUAAGUGUCCUGGAACGGACCGUCAUAGAGGGUGAGAAUCCCGUAUGGGAUGGGGUGUCUGCGCCCAUGUGAAACUCCUUCGACGAGUCGAGUUGUUUGGGAAUGCAGCUCUAAAUGGGUGGUAAAUUUCAUCUAAAGCUAAAUAUUGGCCGGAGACCGAUAGCGCACAAGUAGAGUGAUCGAAAGAUGAAAAGCACUUUGAAAAGAGAGUUAAAAAGCACGUGAAAUUGUUGAAAGGGAAGCGCUUGCGAUCAGACUCGCCUUGGGGGUUCAGCCGGCAUUCGUGCCGGUGUACUUCCCCCAGGGCGGGCCAGCGUCGGUUUGGGUGGCUGGUCAAAGGCCCUUGGAAUGUAACGCCUCUCGGGGCGUCUUAUAGCCAAGGGUGCCAUGCAGCCUACCUGGACCGAGGAACGCGCUUCGGCUCGGACGCUGGCAUAAUGGUCGUAAGCGACC